GUACAAGUGCAACGCUCUACCACUAAGCUAAACCGGC
rnacentral:tRNA from 1 species